rnacentral:rRNA from 1 species
UUGGAGGGCAAGUCUGGUGCCAGCAGCCGCGGUAAUUCCAGCUCCAAUAGCGUAUAUUAAAGUUGUUGCAGUUAAAAAGCUCGUAGUUGAAUUUCGAGAUCAGUACGCUGGUCGUGCCUUCGGUAUGCACUGGUGUCACUGGUUUCUCCCCUCUGAAGAACUGUCAUGUCAUUAAGUUGGUGUGGCGGGGAAUCAGGACUGUUACUUUGAAAAAAUUAGAGUGUUUAAAGCAGGCUCGCGCUUGAAUACAUUAGCAUGGAAUAAUGAAAUAGGACGUUUGACCCUAUUUUGUUGGUUUCUAGGAUCGACGUAAUGAUUAAUAGGGAUAGUUGGGGGCAUUAGUAUUCAAUUGUCAGAGGUGAAAUUCUUGGAUUUAUUGAAGACUAACUACUGCGAAAGCAUUUGCCAAGGAUGUUUUCAUUAAUCAAGAACGAAAGUUAGGGGAUCGAAGACGAUCAGAUACCGUCGUAGUCUUAACCAUAAACUAUGCCGACUAGGGAUCGGAUGAUGUUAAUUUUUUAAUGACUCAUUCGGCGCCUUACGGGAAAC